AUGGUUCUCAUUUUUUUGGCCGUGUGUCAUUGUUACUUGAUCUGCUAUGCCAGACUGUAUGCCACUCAUCUCCAAGUUCCCAAGUGGCUCUUGUUCACUUCCAUUUGCUCCUCACAUUCGUUGCUAUCUCCCAAUCACUUUUUCUCGCUCCAUCCCUCCAAAAUUUUCUGUUCUUGCUUGCCUCACCUUCAUCCUCUUGCAGCUCGCCUAUACAAGCUUGCCCACCGCAAGCAUAGCAGCGACACCACGGCGCCCGUGCCAGCAUAUGUGGAGAGACUAGCAGGGCCUAAAGGGCGACUUGGUUCUGCCAUAUAG
rnacentral:rRNA from 1 species